rnacentral:rRNA from 1 species
CCCCUUCGGGGGUACUCGAGUGGCGAACGGGUGAGUAACACGUGGGCAAUCUGCCCUGCACUUCGGGAUAAGCCUGGGAAACUGGGUCUAAUACCGGAUAGGACCUUUAGACGCAUGUCUUUUGGUGGAAAGCUUUUGCGGUGUGGGAUGGGCCCGCGGCCUAUCAGCUUGUUGGUGGGGUGAUGGCCUACCAAGGCGACGACGGGUAGCCGGCCUGAGAGGGUGUCCGGCCACACUGGGACUGAGAUACGGCCCAGACUCCUACGGGAGGCAGCAGUGGGGAAUAUUGCACAAUGGGCGCAAGCCUGAUGCAGCGACGCCGCGUGGGGGAUGACGGCCUUCGGGUUGUAAACCUCUUUCACCAUCGACGAAGGUUCGGGUUUUCUCGGAUUGACGGUAGGUGGAGAAGAAGCACCGGCCAACUACGUGCCAGCAGCCGCGGUAAUACGUAGGGUGCGAGCGUUGUCCGGAAUUACUGGGCGUAAAGAGCUCGUAGGUGGUUUGUCGCGUUGUUCGUGAAAUCUCACGGCUUAACUGUGAGAGCGGGUAAUGCCGGGGACUCGUGAGAGACUGCCGGGGUCAACUCGGAGGA